rnacentral:misc_RNA from 1 species
AGACGAGGCCACGAGGGAGAGAGAGAAUAAUUACUAUUACCCCCCUUUAGUAGAAAAUAUGCCUUUGAUUUACAAAAUUGGGCUUUGCAAGGCCAUAUAUAUAUAUAUAGCAAAAAACUUCCAUUUUGGUCUAAAAUAAACCUUCAAGUCAAAAUCAUGUAAUGGGUACUAAUUUAUCUGAAGAGCAUUUUGAGUUCUUCAAUCCUAGCUGACCGAACUUCCUCAUCGGUAAGGGCACCAGCAAUCAUCCGCUGCUUUUUCGCCUGAAC